rnacentral:rRNA from 1 species
CCCCUAGAUGUUCUGGGCCGCACGCGCGCUACACUGAACAGUUCAACAAGUCUUAACCUUGGCCGAUAGGUCUGGGUAAUCUUUGAACGCUGUUCGUGAUUGGGAUAGACCUUUGCAAUUAUGGGUCUUCAACGAGGAAUUCCUAGUAAACGCAAGUCAUCAGCUUGCAUUGAUUACGUCCCUGCCCUUGGUACACACCGCCCGUCGCACCUACCGAUUGAAUGGUCCGGUGAAAUCUCGGGACGGCGGCUUGGUCGCUUGCGUCCGACUGCUGAAACUUGAUUAAACCAUAUCAUUUAGAGGAAGGUGAAGUCGUAACA